rnacentral:rRNA from 1 species
UAUUCUGUAGCAAGGUUAACCGAAUAGGGGAGCCGGAGGGAAACCGAGUCUUAAUUGGGCGUUAAGUUGCAGGGUAUAGACCCGAAACCCGGUGAUCUAGCCAUGGGCAGGUUGAAGGUUGGGUAACACUAACUGGAGGACCGAACCGACUAAUGUUGAAAAAUUAGCGGAUGACCUGUGGCUGGGGGUGAAAGGCCAAUCAAACCGGGAGAUAGCUGGUUCUCCCCGAAAGCUAUUUAGGUAGCGCCUCGUGAAUUCAUCUCCGGGGGUAGAGCACUGUUUCGGCUAGGGGGCCAUCCCGGCUUACCAACCCGAUGCAAACUGCGAAUACCGGAGAAUGUUAUCACGGGAGACACACGGCGGGUGCUAACGUCCGUCGUGAAGAGGGAAACAACCCAGACCGCCAGCUAAGGUCCCAAAGUCAUGGUUAAGUGGGAAACGAUGUGGGAAGGCCCAGACAGCCAGGAUGUUGGCUUAGAAGCAGCCAUCAUUUAAAGAAAGCGUAAUAGCUCACUGGUCGAGUCGGCCUGCGCGGAAGAUGUAACGGGGCUAAACCAUGCACCGAAGC